GACGGAAGGUGCAAGCGUUGCUCGGAAUCACUGGGCGUAAAGGGUGCGUAGGCGGCCGUGCAAGUCUGGCGUGAAAGCCCCGGGCUCAGCCCGGGAAGUGCGCUCGAAACUGCGCGGCUCGAGUGCCGGAGGGGAGAGUGGAAUUCCUGGUGUAGCGGUGAAAUGCGCAGAUAUCGGGAAGAACACCCGUGGCGAAGGCGGUUCUCUGGGACGGUACUGACGCUGAGACGGCGAAAGCGUGGGGAGCGAACAGG
rnacentral:rRNA from 1 species